GGUUGUUGCUCUGCGGGUGCCCCUUUUAAAUCUUUCAAAUUUUCAAAUCAAUGACUGGCCGGAUGUCUCUGCCAAAAGCUACGCAAUCAUGGUUUUGAUUCUACCCACGGAUGGCACCAGAAAGUGGCGAGAACAUGAACUGGAGCUGGUUGAUGUUGUGGCAGAUCAGGUGUGUUUUGUUGUUCACUCGUUCCGUUUUCACUGAAUGACUUGCCAUCGUGAUACAUGACUCUUUUUCUUUGUAUUUCACAAUGCUUAUUUGCGUACUGUUCGGGUGCUGUUUGCAUCUGAAGUUCAUGAAUUGAAAGGCUAAUGUAUUAACAACUGAUCUGUCACUUGUCUUCCUUAUGAUUCCUAUACACGUACUUAAAGGUUAUAACAAGUGUGGUUGUGCUCAGGUAGCUGUUGCUCUUUCACAUGCUGCUAUUCUGGAAGAGUCUAUGCGAGCCCGUAAACAGCUCACGGAGCAGAACGAUGCUUUAGAUUUAGCUUGGAGAGAAGCAGAGAUGGCAAUCCAUGCCCGCGAUGAUUUCCUUGCUGUCAUGAACCAUGAAAUGAGGACACCAAUGCAUGCAAUCAUUGCAUUGUCUUCUCUUCUGUUAGAGACGGAACUGACUCCGGAAGAAAGGCUUAUGAUAGAGACAGCACUAAAGAGUAGCAACCUUUUGGAAACACUUGUUAAUGAUGUUUUAGAUCUUUCUAGACUUGAAGAUGAUAACCUAGAAUUAGACACUGAAAGAUUUAACCUCCAUGGAAUUUUCAGAGAGGUAAACUUUCCAGACUCAGGGCUUGAAUGUGUACUUUGGAAUAAUUUGGUUUUCGUGAACUUACAUACAAACCUUUUACAAACUGUAGGUAAUGAAUUUGGUACAGCCCGUCGCAUCUGUGAAGAAGUUGUCUAUGACUUUGAUUCAAUCCCCUGACUUACCUGUGUAUGCCGUUGGAGAUGAGAAUCGGCUGUUGCAAACUAUUCUCAACGUUGCCGGUAAUGCUGUGAAGUUCACAAAGCAGGGCUAUAUUUCAAUUACAGCAUCUGUUGCGAAAUCAGAAUCUUCAAGAGACUGGCAACCGCCGGAGUUUUAUCCAGGGUCAACUGAUGGUUACUUCUACCUACGAGUUCAGGUCAAUUAUUGUGCGUUUUAUCGCUGUUUAGCUUUACUUUGUGUGCUGAGGUCGAUACAUCUCUUAGUAACUUCGACAGUGAAGCAACGUGAUCUGAUGGCAUUCCUGUUGCAGGUUAAGGAUUCUGGCUGUGGUGUUCUCCCAGAAGAUAUUCCUCAUCUUUUCACCAAGUUUUCUCAGCCCCGAAAUGGAUCCAAUCAAAUAAACAACGGUGCAGGACUUGGACUUGCCAUUUGCAAACGGUAUGGUUGAAAACUUUCCGAUCUUUCAUCAUUUCCGUAGGGCAUUUAAAAACUUGCAUCCUGCUUUUGUUUUCUCGCCUAUUCAUCCAACUUGGUCACCUUAUGUCCUGAAAUGACUUGGAUUAGGUUUGUAAACACCAUGGGAGGUCAUAUUUGGAUUGAAAGCGAGGGUAUCGACAGAGGGAGUAUCGUUGCAUUCAUCGUCCAACUAGGGAUAUGCGACAAUCAUAGUGAUACAACAACACACCAGGUCCAGAUUGCCACCUAAAGGACAAGCAAAUUAUGGAAGCGGAGAUCUCAUCGGACACAAACCCGCCUUUAGGGAUUGUUUCGGAAUAACUUCAUCGAAUGCACGUUAUCAAAGAAGUCUUUGAAUGCCAGUGGAUACACCGAUCAAUGUUUUCUGCCUGGCAGAGUUAUUAGCUCAACCGGGGAAUUUUGGUUUAGUAUGUUGAGGUUGGAAGAAAUUUGUGUGUUUAAAAUUGUGAACGUUGAUUGUUACUGUUAUCCUCAUCGUUACGAGGCCAUCAGUGGGAAAUGUUGCUUAAUUAGUGUUAAAUCCUCGUCCGAAUGAGGCAAACCAGGUAAUUAAAACCUGUUUGAUAGUCGAUACUCCAUUAUCUUAAAUCGU
rnacentral:lncRNA from 1 species